UACGGAAGGCAGCAGUGGGGAAUAUUGCACAAUGGGCGCAAGCCUGAUGCAGCCAUGCCGCGUGUACGAAGAAGGCCUUCGGGUUGUAAAGUACUUUCAGUCGUGAGGAAGGUGUUAAGGUUAAUAACCUUAGCAAUUGACGUUAGCGACAGAAGAAGCACCGGCUAACUCCGUGCCAGCAGCCGCGGUAAUACGGAGGGUGCGAGCGUUAAUCGGAAUUACUGGGCGUAAAGGGCACGCAGGCGGUUAAUUAAGUUGGAUGUGAAAUCCCCGGGCUUAACCUGGGAAUGGCAUUCAAGACUGGUUAGCUAGAGUCUUGUAGAGGGGGGUAGAAUUCCAUGUGUAGCGGUGAAAUGCGUAGAGAUGUGGAGGAAUACCGGUGGCGAAGGCGGCCCCUGGACAAAGACUGACGCUCAUGUGCGAAAGCUGGGGAGCAAACAGGGAUUAGAUACC
rnacentral:rRNA from 1 species